GAUGAACGCUGGCGGCGUGCUUAACACAUGCAAGUCGAACGGUGAAGCCCAGCUUGCUGGGUGGAUUAGUGGCGAACGGGUGAGUAACACGUGAGCAACCUGCCCCUGACUCUGGGAUAAGCGCUGGAAACGGCGUCUAAUACUGGAUAUGUCCCGUCACCGCAUGGUGUGCGGGUGGAAAGAUUUUUCGGUUGGGGAUGGGCUCGCGGCCUAUCAGCUUGUUGGUGAGGUAAUGGCUCACCAAGGCGUCGACGGGUAGCCGGCCUGAGAGGGUGACCGGCCACACUGGGACUGAGACACGGCCCAGACUCCUACGGGAGGCAGCAGUGGGGAAUAUUGCACAAUGGGCGGAAGCCUGAUGCAGCAACGCCGCGUGAGGGAUGACGGCCUUCGGGUUGUAAACCUCUUUUAGCAGGGAAGAAGCGAAAGUGACGGUACCUGCAGAAAAAGCACCGGCUAACUACGUG
rnacentral:rRNA from 1 species